AUGGAGGGGUUUGAUCCUGGCUCAGAUUGAACGCUGGCGGCAUGCCUUACAUUCAUGCAAGUCGAACGGCAGCACGGAGCUUGCUCUGGUGGCGAGUGGCGAACGGGUGAGUAAUAUAUCCCGAACGUGCCCUAGAGUGGGGGAUAACGUAGCGAAAGUUACGCUAAUACCGCAUACGAUCUAAGGRUGAAAGUGGGGGAUCGCAAGACCUCAUGCUCGUGGAGCGGCCGAUAUCUGAUUAGCUAGUUGGUAGGGUGAAAAGCCUACCAAGGCAUCGAUCAGUAGCUGGUCUGAGAGGACGACCAGCCACACUGGAACUGAGACACGGUCCAGACUCCUACGGGAGGGCAGCAUUGGGUGAAUUUUGGACAAUGGGGCGAAAGCCUGAUCCAGCAAUGCCGGCGUGGAGUGAAGAAGGCCUUUCGGGUUGGUAAGCUUCUUUUGGCAGGGGAAGAAAACGGUGAGGAGCUAAUAUCUUCUUGCUAAUGAACGGUACCUGGAGGAAUUAAGCACCGGGCUAAACUACUUGCCAGCGGCCGCGGUAAUACGUAGGGUGCAAAGCGUUAUAUCGGAAUUACUGGGCGUAAAAGCGUGCGCAGGGCGGUUUUUGUAAGUCUGAUGUGAAAUCCCCGGGCUCAACCUGGGAAUUGCAUUGGAGACUGCAAGGCUAGAAUCUGGCAGAGGGGGGUAGAAUUCCACGUGUAGCAGUGAAAUGCGUAGAUAUGUGGAGGAACACCGAUGGCGAAGGCAGCCCCCUGGGUCAAGAUUGACGCUCAUGCACGAAAGCGUGAGCUGGGAUCGGCAAACAAGAUUAUGGCGCGAUACCCAUGGUAGUCCACGCCCUAAACGAUCUCUCCAAGUUGUCGGGUCUUAAUUGACUUGGUAACGCAGCUAACGCGUGAAGUAGACCGCCUGGGGAGUCAGGUCGCAAGAUUAAAACUCAAAGGAAUUGACGGGGACCCGCACAAGCGGUGGAUGAUGUGGAUUAAUUCGAUGCAGCGCGAAAAACCUUUACCUACCCUUGACAUGGCUGGAAUCCUUGAGAGAUCAGGGGGUGCUCGAAAGAG
rnacentral:rRNA from 1 species